GCUCAGAACGAACGCUGGCGGCGUGCCUAACACAUGCAAGUCGAACGGACUCAUUUUGAAGUAGCAAUACGGAUAAAUGAGUUAGUGGCGGACGGGUGAGUAACACGUAGGUAACCUACCCUUUGGAGGGGGACAACUCAGGGAAACUUGAGCUAAUACCCCAUAAGACCACAUACAGAGAUGUAUGAGGUAAAAGUGGCAACACACCGAAGGACGGGCCUGCGGCCUAUCAGGUAGUUGGUGAGGUAACGGCUCACCAAGCCAAAGACGGGUAGCCGGGCUGAGAGGUUGAACGGCCACACUGGAACUGAGAUACGGUCCAGACUCCUACGGGAGGCAGCAGUGGGGAAUCUUGCACAAUGGGCGAAAGCCUGAUGCAGCGACGCCGCGUGGAGGAUGAAGGCCUUCGGGUUGUAAACUCCUUUUCUUGGGAAAGAUGAUGACGGUACCCAAGGAAUAAGCCACGGCUAACUCUGUGCCAGCAGCCGCGGUAAGACAGAGGUGGCAAGCGUUGUUCGGAAUUACUGGGCUUAAAGGGCGAGUAGGCGGUGGAGCAAGUCUGAGGUGGAAUCCUAUGGCUUAACCAUAGAACUGCCUUAGAAACUGCUUUACUUGAGUCAGUGAGGGGAGGGCGGAAUUCCUGGUGUAGCGGUGAAAUGCGUAGAUAUCAGGAGGAAGGCCUGUGGCGAAAGCGGCCCUCUGGCACUGUACUGACGCUGAGGCGCGAAAGCGUGGGGAGCAAACAGGAUUAGAUACCCUGGUAGUCCACGCCCUAAACGGUGGGCAUUAGGUGUAGGGCUCGUAAGGGUUCUGUGCCGAAGGGAAACCAUUAAAUGCCCCGCCUGGGGAAUACGGCCG
rnacentral:rRNA from 1 species